rnacentral:rRNA from 1 species
GGUUGAAGGUGUACCGUAAGGAGCGCUGGACAGCAUACAAGUGAGAAUGCCGGUAUGAGUAACGAAAAGAUCAGUGAGAAUCUGAUCCGCCGAAAGCCCAAGGUUUCCUGAGGAAGGCUCGUCCGCUCAGGGUAAGUCGGGACCUAAGGUGAGGCCGAAAGGCGUAAUCGAAGGACAACAGGUUGAAAUUCCUGUACCACCGUAAACCGUUAUGAACGAUGGGGUGACGCAGGAGGGUAGUGACGCGGACUGAUGGAUGUCCGUCCAAGCAGUGAGGCUGAUGUGUAGGCAAAUCCGCACAUCGAUAAGGCUGGGCUGUGAUGGGGAGUGAAAAUUAUA